GAUGAACGCUAGCGGCAGGCCUAACACAUGCAAGUCGAGGGGCAGCGAGAGGUAGCAAUACUUUGUCGGCGACCGGCGCACGGGUGCGUAACGCGUAUGCAACCUACCUAUAACAGGGGGAUAAUCGAGAGAAAUCUUGUCUAAUACCCCGUAACACUUAGAAAGGCAUCUUUUUAAGUUGAAAGAUUUAUUGGUUAUAGAUGGGCAUGCGUGACAUUAGCUAGAUGGUGAGGUAACGGCUCACCAUGGCUACGAUGUCUAGGGGAACUGAGAGGUUUAUCCCCCACACUGGUACUGAGACACGGACCAGACUCCUACGGGAGGCAGCAGUGAGGAAUAUUGGUCAAUGGACGCAAGUCUGAACCAGCCAUGCCGCGUGCAGGAAGACGGCUCUAUGAGUUGUAAACUGCUUUUGUAAAGGGGUAAAAAGAUUCACGAGUGGAUCAUUGAAAGUACUUUACGAAUAAGGAUCGGCUAACUCCGUGCCAGCAGCCGCGGUAAUAC
rnacentral:rRNA from 1 species